rnacentral:rRNA from 1 species
AUUGAACGCUGGCGGCAGGCCUAACACAUGCAAGUCGAACGAGUGGCGGACGGGUGAGUAAUGUCUGGGAAACUGCCCGAUGGAGGGGGAUAACUACUGGAAACGGUUGCUAAUACCGCAUACCAUCGGAUCGGCCCAGAUGGGAUUAGCUAGUAGGUGGGGUAAAGGCUCACCAAGGCGACGAUCCCUAGCUGGUCUGAGAGGAUGACCAGCCACACUGGAACUGAGACACGGUCCAGACUCCUACGGGAGGCAGCAGUGGGGAAUAUUGCACAAUGGGCGCAAGCCUGAUCCAGCCAUGCCGCGUGUAUGAAGAAGGCCUUCGGGUUGUAAAGUACUUUCAGCUGGGAGGCGUUACCCGCAGAAUAAGCACCGGCUAACUCCGUGCCAGCAGCCGCGGUAAUAC